UACGUAGGGUCCGAGCGUUGUCCGGAAUUAUUGGGCGUAAAGGGCUCGUAGGCGGUUCGUCACGUCGGGAGUGAAAACUCGGGGCUUAACCCCCGAGCCUGCUUCCGAUACGGGCAGACUAGAGGUAGGCAGGGGAGAGCGGAACUCCUGGUGUAGCGGUGGAAUGCGCAGAUAUCAGGAAGAACACCGGUGGCGAAGGCGGCUCUCUGGGCCUUACCUGACGCUGAGGAGCGAAAGCGUGGGUAGCGAACAGG
rnacentral:rRNA from 1 species